rnacentral:rRNA from 1 species
CCUACGGGUGCAGCAGUGGGGAAUAUUGCGCAAUGGGCGAAAGCCUGACGCAGCGACGCCGCCUGAGGGAUGAAGGUCUUCGGAUCGUAAACCUCUGUCAGCAGGGAAGAACGGUCACUGUGCUAAUCAGCAGUGAAUUGACGGUACCUGCAAAGGAAGCACCGGCUAACUCCGUGACAGCAGCCGCUGUAAUACGGAGGGUGCGAGCGUUAAUCGGAAUUACUGGGCGUAAAGCGCUCGUAGGCGGUAUGUCAAGUCAAGAGUGAAAUCCCCGCGCUCAACGUGGGAACUGCCUUUGUAACUGGCAAACUGGAGUGUGUGAGAGGAUAGUGGAAUUCCAGGUGUAGGAGUGAAAUCCGUAGAUAUCUGGAGGAACAUCAGUGGCGAAGGCGGCUAUCUGGCACAUAACUGACGCUGAGGAGCGAAAGCGUGGGUAGCGAACAGGAUUAGAUACCCUAGUAGUC